GUAAGAAAUAACAACUGAAUAUAUCAGAGCUUUGUUUGGAUCUUGAUUUGAUUUGAUUAUACACACUGUAUAAAUAUAUCUUUGACGUAAUCUUGGAAUCAUGAAUAUGAAGUAUGUAUCAGACGAUAUUAAGAAACUACUAUUAAUUCUGCUAGAUUUAAUAAUAGCAUGGUAUUUAUAUGGCGUGUUUUAUAUAUAUAUAAUAUAUGCCUUACCAGUUAGAGAUGGAUAGAAAAGAAUUUACAAUGGAAAUGGAAUAAUGUCUGGAGUUUGCUUUAAAAUAGUUUAGAAAACAAACAAAAAAGGUAGGAGGGCAUAAGUGAAAAGAGAUUGAUGAAUAUCAUAAUUGUUCAGUCUGAGUGAGGAGUACAAAGAUUUUUUUUUAUACUAUCCUUCCUGCUUCUAUUUACGUUUGAAAAUUUUCCACAAUAAAAAUUAUAAUCUCAAUUCAUUGCCUUAGAAAUGAGUAAAUACACUGGAAACUUCCUUUUUUUGUAUUAGUUAUUAGUUUAGGCAUUUUUAACAAGAGAUGUCUUUCGUAGCUACACACAUAAGGCUAGAGUCACUUUUGUCCAUGGUGAUUUCAUUUUCUCCACACAGGGUUAGCAGAGAAUUAGAGGCCAAGCUGAUUGCAACAUUGUUACACUAGGUUUAAAUCUGUCCAAGCAGUCGACUAACACCACAGAUAUGAUGGUCCCCUCCGGAGCUACAGUGAUCUCAGGGGAGGUGCCAGGAUUUACUUCACUUCCCCUUACCUCUGUGGGGAUGUCGGGGGAGGAAUGCCUUUCCGUUACCUCUUAAGUGGGAGAGGUGAAGGGGAGGAAUGCCUGGGAUCAGAAGCCCGUCCCUGUCUUUACCAGCCACUGAGGGAACCCAGGAAUCCCCUCCAACUGCUAUGGACAGUGCAGUGAGAAAGAAGAGCAGUCUCAUUUUUGCUGCUAGGAAUGCACAGGGAAAGAAAUGUUCUUGGCAUUCUCAUUCUGGAACAAGUGAUACAUUUCCUUAUAGAAACCAAGACAUUGCUUCCACAAAACAUUAAUAAACAUUGUGUGGAGCAGCAUGAGGCAUGGGCUUAUGUCACAUAAGUUUGAGAACUGUGUGGUUAAACACACGGAACAUUUCUUUUUUCAUGUAAUUUGUGUGUAAUACUUUAAUACAUCUGACAAGCCUCCUUUGGAACAGGUAUGGGGGACACUGAAUACAGUAAUUCCCAAACUGUUUGAGCACUAACUCUUUUUCUAGGAACAUCAUGUGAGAGUAAUAUUUUUUGGAAUGCAAUUUGAAAAAUGCUGCCCUUGACCAAACCUUUUUUAACUCAAGCCACAAGUGUACAAUGGGCUCUUAACUUUGGUCUCUUUUUCUUUUUGUGCCUAGCCAUAUAAAGUUCUUUUGUACAUUAAUUUAUUGAAUAGCACUGAUUUAUUGAACCGGCCCUGGUGUUCUACUGGUUAAGGUUUGGUGCUCUCACUGCUGUGGUCCAGGUUCAUUUCCUGCUCGGGGAACCACAUCACCUGUCUAUCGGUUGUCAUACUGUGGUGGCUGCAUGCUGCUGUGAUGCUGAAAGCUGUGCCACAAGUAUUUUAAAUACCAGCAGGGUCACCCAUUGGUGGACAGGCUUCAGCGGAGCUUCCAGACUAAGACAGACGAGGAAGAAGGACCUGGCCACCCACUUCUGAAAAAACUGGCCAUGAAAACCCUAUGAAUAGCAGCAGAGCAUUGUCUGAUACAGUGCUGAAAGGUGAGAGAAUGGUGCAAAAAGACCGGGCAGGGCACCCCUCUGUUGUACACAGGGUCACUAGGAGUCUGUACACAUGGUCGCUAGGAGUCAGAAUUGACUUGACAGCGCUAACAACAACAAACUGAUUUAUUGAGUGUCUACUCUGUGCCUACUCUCUGCUUGGUGCUGGAAAUACAAAGAUGAAUUAGACACAUGGUCCCUGUCCUCAAAAAGUUCAUACUCUACCAGAGGAACCGGACACGAUGCAAAUGAUCAGGUUAAAUGUUCACAAGCCGUAUGAACAUGGCAAUGAUAGCACAAAGAAGAGGAACAAUGUGUCCUGAGGGCAGGAGAACACUCUCUGAGCAAGCUGCCACUUAUUAACUGCCUAACUGAUAUCCAUUCCUCACCUCAGAACAGUCCCCUUAUUUCUGCUUAGAAAAUUCUUGUGUUUCCUGGGAAGCUGACUCUACCAGUGCCAAUCUAGUCAGCACUUCCGUUCCUCUGUGCAAGGACAAGUUCAGGAGCAGCAAAUGCCACCAGCAAGUCCAAUUAGAAUGAAUCUCAGGAAUUAGGCCUGGAAUGUUGUGACCCUGCAUUUUUGCCUCUUGAUAUACUGCAGCCUUUUCUGCUCCUCUGAGAAAAACCAGACUGGAACAAAGUACGAUAUAGAGGAGGGCGAGGCUGGGAGAAUCACAAGGAGAUGAGCCAAAGACCUUUGGAUUGAGCGCAUCGAAGUCUAUCCUACCUUAUACUUUUCAGUUCUCUGAAUAAUACAUUUUCUUUAUUGCAAAGCCAAUUUGCCUUAAAUUUUUUGUUUCCCAUUUGAAAUAUCCUAAGUGAUAUAAUCCUGUGCCCAUGCCUUUGCCUUGUCAUUCUCUCCAAAUAAAAUAGCCACCUUUCCUGACCCAGGUCCUACUCAAGUUCCACCAUCACUUUGUAUCCCUCCUGGGUCAGCUGAGUUUACAGCGCUCUCUCACUCCUUUACCACUUAUUUGCACUAUGUUCGUUUAGUACUUAAGUACUCCUGUGUUAACACGCGCACUCACGUGUAUAUCUUGUCUCCUAGACUAGACUAUACAUUUUUUGAAAAUAGAGAUAAUGGACUUAUUAUGUCACAUGGAAUAAAGUACUCUAUAAACAUUUGUUCAAUAAAUAUUACUCUUUCACAGCAUACCCCCAUUUCCUGCAGUUCUUAGCAUAAGGCCUAAUGUAUAGCAGAAUCAUAAUAGUCAUUCACAUUUUACUUCUCAGCUGUCACGCCAUCUUGGCAUCACCCUUGAUUCCUCCCAAGUAAGAUUGAUCACUCCCAUUCUUGUGCACGCAUAGUAUCCUCACAGCUAUUACACUGUUGCUAUCACUUAUUUCCGAAGCUCUUCCCCUGCUAGAUUGUAGAGACAGAGACCGUAUUUGUCCAUCUUGUUUCCCCAACACCUGAUAAAGGUACAUAGUAGAUAUUCAAUAGAUCUUAUUAAAUAUACGAGAGAGAAAAUUAGUUUAUUUCUGGUUCUUACAGUGGUACUUAAAAUAUCUAUACAAUUCCAACUGAUAUAAUAAUUCUUCCAUUUUGUUCAAACAUAUCACAGACAUAUAGAGCUAAGUAGUAAAAUGAGCUUAAGCAGUAUGUUUCUAUCAUUCAUUCACAGAUGAAGGAUAUUAGUUCAAGAAUAAUCUUAUCAGAAAAACUUCUAUGUCAAAGUUCAGUGCUCAAUAGUAAUUAUUUCUAUGUCUGAGUGACAACCUAUACUAACACCACUUUCCUCUCUAUGAUAAAAUGAAUUGUAUUAAAUCAAAGAAUCUGUACAUAAAGUAGAAGAGAAGCAGGUAUUACAAAAUUCUUUUAAAGAACCAUGACCCUUUGAUAAAUAUUGAGUGUACCCUGUGUGAUAGCUGGAAUAUCAAAUGCCUUGAGUGAUUUCCUCUAGAAGAUAAAAUUUCAUUAAAGGAACACAGUAGCAAAAAAGCCAAAGCUUCCAGCAAGCCUUUAUCUUUUCUCCACUCCCAGUCUUCUUGACUUGUCAUAGAUUUACAUCUGUGUAGACCCUACUCUCCGUGCGUCUUCGUCUUUGAUGUUGCCUUCACAUCUCUGCCGCUUUGUUAAGAUUGUAUAAUAUAUUUCUUUUCUAAAUUCUGCCAUUUUCACUGUCAUGUUACUCCCCAUCAAUUUUAUUUGACCAUUGCUCAGAAGAGACUUCCAAGUUCUUUCCUGAAUCACAAAACAUUUUUUUCUCCUUAGUAGAACACCGUCAUGACUACCAAAAUAUGCACCAAUUUCUCAUUUCAGGAUAACUUCAAAUAAAGAAAGAAAAAAUUCCAUUAAUAAUACAUUUAGAAAAACUGUCAAAGAUUUUAAGAGCAUUUAUACUGCAUUCUAACAAAGUUACAGCAGCAGAUAUAAAUAUAGGCCAUAUUAUUUAAGGUUGUGAUCCGUGGACCGUCAGCCUCAGCAUCACCCGGGAGCUUGAUACAUAUACAGAAUCUCAGGCUCCGCCUUCACUUUCUGAAUCAGAAUCUACAUUUAGCAUGAUCCCCAGGUAACUCAUAUGUACAAUAGUGUUUGGAAAGUACUAAAUAUAAACAUUAAAAGGCUUUUAAACAUCAAAAUACUUCUACUGAUACUGUUGACAGACUUCUAUUCUUUAUGUUGUACUUUCUAAGCUUUCUGCCAAGAAAAUCCUCAAUAAAUAUUAUUUAAAAGAUAAUUAAAAUAUAGUUUCAGUCAGUUUAGAGCUCAGAAACUUGUAGGGAUGACAAACUUCUAUGAAAGCCCAGAAAUGGGUGUGCCUAACUCAGUAUGGUAAACCAGGAGAGGCUUUAGUUUUCCCAAACUAUCAAAAAAAAAAAAAAAAA
rnacentral:lncRNA from 1 species